UACGGGGGGAGCAAGCGUUGUUCGGAUUUACUGGGCGUAAAGGGCGCGUAGGCGGCCACCGCAAGUCGACUGUGAAAUCUCCGGGCUUAACCCGGAACGGUCAGCCGAUACUGCGGGGCUAGAGUGCAGAAGGGGCAACUGGAAUUCUCGGUGUAGCGGUGAAAUGCGCAGAUAUCAGGAGGAACACCAAUGGCGAAGGCAGCUCGCUGGGACGGUACUGACGCUGAGGCGCGAAAGCGUGGGGAGCAAACAGG
rnacentral:rRNA from 1 species